rnacentral:lncRNA from 1 species
AUACGAGGGUGUUGCACCGAAUCCCCCGUGCCAGAAGGUGCCGUCCACCCGCGAGUGGUCUGCCCAUACCCUGUGCCUCCUUCCUUUCCCACCACCACCACCACCACCACCACCACCACCACCACCACCACCACCACCACCACCACCACCACCACCACCAGCAGCAGCAGCGUAUUCCAUGCAUUCGUUACGGCUGUUCGCUAGCUGGGUCGCCCACCUGUCUCCUCAUAGCCCCAUUCCGCCGGCCACCACACUGGCCGCACAGGCACCACCCGCCAUGCCGCACCCGCACCCACACCCGCACCUGCUGCCUCACUCCCCGCCCCUGCCGCCGCCGCCGCACCAGUCGCCGCCGUCGCCACCACCAGCUCCCCGCGGCCCUCCGCCGCCGCAAGCGCCGUAUCCAACUUGAGGUAGGCAAUGCCCCACCCCGCACCGCUCGCUCUCCCGGUGCUACUGCUACUGCUACUGCUACUGGUGCUGGUGCUGCUACUGCUGGAGCUGGCCUGCCCGGAUGCCGCCGCGGAUGAGCAGGUGGAGGAAGCUGCCGCCCCGCGCAGCUGCCCCACGCUCUUCCCCGUGGCGGCGUCAAGAACGUCCAGGCCCACGGCGGGAAGUGCAGGACCUGUAUUGAUGCGAGGAUGCGAAACAGCAACCGCUCAAUUGCAUGCCAGGGAACUGUACGUUUGCACCAGCCCCAUCGGACGUACCUCCCGCAUGAAAGCAACUCCGAGAAUGCAUAGUCACACUUUGCGCGGUGCGCCCAAACGCCAGGCUCGAAAAAACGCAACCACAAUGGCGGUGCGCCCGCAAGCCCCGCGCACCUGGCCCCGCCGCUGCCGUCGCUUCAAGCCGCACAGGCAUGAGUCGCCUGCAUAUACAAGCGCAUAAAUGCAUCGGGAGUGUUACAUCCAUCCAAGGCCAAUGCCCCAACUCCGCGGCAGCGUGGGGCCAAGCUUCCUGCCGCUCCCCCAUCGCGCGCUCCACCAGCACCACACCGCCCCCCCUCAGGUGAGAGGCCUACACCUCCACGCCCUCCUCCCUCCUCCCUCCUCCCUCCCUCCCUGAUCCGUUCUCACUUGCGGAUGACGCCGCGGUAGUGCGUGAAGCUGUUGCGCUCCUGGCCCACGUAGCAGCCCUUGGUGUACGACACGCCGCGCAGCACGUCCACGUUGAAGUCCAGGGGGGCGGCCUGGCCUGUGGGGGCGUGUGUCCGAGAGACACCGACACGAGGAGAGGAAUAACGUGGUGACGUGGAUUGAAAGAAACGUAUAUGUCAUGUAUAUGUCGUGUGUGCCUGCGGAUGCAAAUGGCAAUUUGGAAGGCAUAUGCAUGUGCAUGUGCAUGUGGCUCGUGUAAUUGGCGUACGGCAAAGGACAUAAGGAUGCGAAGCGAAACGCCAGUGUAAGUGCAAGUGUAAGAGCCUGUGCUGGGGACCAUUGCUUGCGUGCCUGUGUCACGCCCAUGUGUCCCCACUCGCCCAUGUGCCCCCACUCGUCGCUUCAUGUCAUUUGUGUUCCUGAACCUGCCGCCGCCUUCCGCCCCCACGCCGCCCAUGCCAUCGCCUGUACCGCUGCCGCCCCACACGUCCUCCGGCACUAACCCCACCCGGCCUCUCUCUCGCUCACCCGCGGGUAUCUCCGCCUCGCCCUCCGCCACGCCCAGGCUGUAGCGCCACGCCCGGUAGGCCUCCUCCCCGGCGGCGCCUGUAGCAGGGGGGUUGCGAAAAGCGCGGAGCUGGAGUUCAGGUCAAUGCGGCACGAGGGUCGCACGGAACACAGGCACGUAAGCACUCCGUACGUGCGCGUGUUGCCGUUGUGCUAGCUGCCGCACGGAGACCCGGGAGCCCGUCGGGCAGUGGCCGUGGCACACCCAACCCCAGGCCUCCACAGUUCUUCGCGCUCACCUCCCGCCGCUGCUGCCGCCGCCGCCACGUCCGCCGCCGGCACUAGCGCUCUGUAGCCCAGCUGCGGCAGGCGCGGGUCCGGCCGCCACCAGGGGCCUGCGAGUUCAGGCGGCAGCAAACACACGGUGUUAACACGGCGAACACGCCAGCGGCAUUGAGCUGGCAGCACCUGCAUGAGGUCUGGUCAUUGCGCUGCGGAACCUGCGCUAGCCCGCUCCACCGGUUCCCUCCUCCUACCGUAUCCCUGAAGCACGUACCCCGUGGCGGAGUGCCGCCGCCACCUCCACCUCCACCUCCUGCUCCUGCUCCUGCUCCUGCUCCUGCUCCACCCCCUGCUCCGGCUCCGCCGCCAGCUGCUCCGGCUGCGCCCCACGCCGCCAUGACGCGGUACUGCGCGCUGACGUCGCGAAAGGUCACCGGCCGCCGCAGCUUGUACCUGAGAGCGAAGACGCGAGAAUGCUUGACUUUAUUAAGUGUACGUCAUCAUCGUGCUGUGUCCAUCCAACAACCCGUCCUGUCCACAUCGCAGCCCCAACGAAAUGGAGGCCACACCUUCGGGCUGCUGUCCUUCACCGCAUUCCAUCCACCUAAUCCACCCACACAUGCACAUUCAAAAACGCAAACACACACGCACGCACUUGUUCAGCAGCUGCAUGGCCGCCGUCGCCCCGGCGGCAUCCACCUCUAGGAGCAGGGCGUCAGGCAUGUCUGCAGCGGAGAAGAGCGGGGCAGCAGGAGCAGCAGGAGCACGGUGGUGAGUUGGUGAGCUGGAAGGUUCGUGUACAAUGAUGGCAGCUGCCAGUGCAACGUUUCAUGUGUCCCGGUUCCUUCCCACGUAUCUUCAUGCCACCUCGCCAUGCCGCCCUUCCGUACCUUGCUCCCACUUCCCACAUUGAUUACGGCAUCAAUCACGGCAUUGGUUACGGCACCCACCACGGGCACCCCCCACACACAAACACAACCCGCGUACCCACCCGGGUGCCGGCUGAUGAACAGGUCGUGCAGGAACUUCCCCUUGGGCGUCAGGACCGUGGCGUACACAGGCGGCUCGGCCGGGCCUGUGGGGUGCCAAACGUGGCGGCGGUGUUGCGGCGGCGGUGGCGGCGGCGGCAAGUAGGUAUGGAGGGCGCCGUAUGCUUGCUGGUAGCUUCAGUCUCAGCCGCAGCUCAAGACUGGACUGAGCAGAGGAGGACGUCAAGGCCGGCGGCCAAAGGCCCGCCGCGGCCGCGAUCAGUAACAGGCUCAGGCACAGAACCUACUGUAGAAAGGGGCGCAGCCGCAGCAUGCCCAUAUGAACCCGCCCUACCAGCUGUCUGCAGCGGCCGCACGUCGUUGGUGACCAUGCCCUGUAAGGGGUGCAAGAAGGAAGUGCGCGCAGCAGUCAAGGGGCUGCCGCCCUGGUGCCACGUCAGGUGCUUGCCGCGUUGCCGCCAUGCCGGUGCAACACCCUGCCCCUCUCAAGGGCCCAAACCCCUGUUAUGUCAUGACAAGCACACACACCUGCAGAAAGGUCAGAGCCUGCGGCCCUUCCGCCAGCAGCACGCCGCGUGACGUUAGGUGAGCGACUCGCCCCGAUGAGGAUGGUCCCGCGUCAGUCUCGGUGGCGGAGAAUGAGCGCCAGGAGCUACAUGAUGCUCCUACAAGACUAUGACGCUGUCUACAAAGCGGCAGAAGGCCAGCGAGCAUCCCCUGCCGCGACAUCGCAACACAGUGUGCGAGGCUGUAGUAUCAACUUGGAGCUUGGACUCUUGUUAAUACAGGAACCCAAAUGUAAUAUGAAAUACAUCAGCGAUUGAGUAGAUAGUCGCUGUGUACAAGGCCUGCAUCGCGCUCGCUGCACAUGCGGUCCUUUUGCUCGCGGCGUAGCACAGGUCAAGGGCAUACAUAUACUGUAUCAAACAAAAAUGCCAUGCAUCUGAGUAUGUCACGUUCCCAGCAACGGCCGGCGCCCUGGUUGCCCGGCCGACAACAGCAUGUCACCGCGCCUCGGCUGCUUCACUCCGCUCCAGCCGCUGGCGCCAGCAUCUCAUCGGCAUCGUGCCAAGAGCCCUUGGAACCGCCCGUCGGAGUCCCGGCGCCCAGCCCGGAGCCAGUCCUGGCCCCAGCCCCCAUUGCCACCCCGCAGCCCGACCCCUUCGCCUGGCUGCACGACCCCUCGCGCCGCGACCCCCGCGUGCUGCGCUACCUGCAGCAGGAGAACGAGUACUGCAAGAUCCAGCUGCGGCACCUGGGCCCUCUGAGGAAGCAGCUGGAGGAGGAGCUGGCGGAAGCCGCCUGGCGGCAGGCCGUGAUGCUGGCGGCACAGACGCCAGCGAGCGGCGCGUCGGCAUCGCUGGCGCUGUCGCCUAUGGCGCUGUCACUGCAGAGCAGCGCGGGGGGAGCAGACGUGGCGAGGGACGGGUAUGAGUACGGCGGGUACAUGUACCGGCGGCAGCCGGUAGGUGCGACGGGGCGUAUGCGGCAUGUGCGGGAGAGGGUGGUGCGGCCAGGGGCUGCCGCUGCCGAGUUGCGGCACCAGCAGCAGCAGCAGCAGCAGCAGCAGCCGGCGGACGUCGUCGUGUUGCUGGAUGAGCAUCAGCGUGCUGCAGCCAUCUCCGCUGUUGCAGCUACUGCCGCUGGAAGCGGCAGUAGCAGCAGCGGCGGUAGAAGCAGUAGCUGCAGCGGCUACGCGCUGUGCUCCUUCGCGCCCAGCCCGGCCUUUGACCUGGCGGCGGUCACGGAGGCUCUGCAGCCCGAGCCGCAGGGCCAACGCCGGCCCGACCGCUUCCGACUGCGCCUGCUGCAGCUCUCACAUCCUGUGGGGACCGGGUCGGAUCCUGGCGGCGCUGCCGCCGGCGUGGCAGCCGGCGCCGGACAAGGUCAGGCGGGAGCCGCAGACGUCGCAGCGGCGGUUGGCGGCGAAGGGCGGGUGCGGGAGCUGCCGCUGCCGCCGCUGCCGGAGACGGCGUUUGGCGCCGCCGCGAGCGAUGCAGGUGCCGGUGCUGGUGCUGGUGCUGGUGCUGGAGCCGGAGCUGGGGCUGGAGCAGGUGCUGGAGGAGGGGCAGGAGCAAGAGCAGGGACCGGCGGAGGGGCAGGCGCAAAGGCGACGCUGCUGCACAUAGACCCGGACGGCGUCAGCGGUGAUGUGGGCUGGGUGGCGGGCCCCGCGGGCGCGGCAGGCGGACGCCUGUACUUCACGCGGGCCGCGCAGCGCGAGCUGUGGUGCUUGGAUGUGAUGCCGCGGGCACACCAGCUGCAGCCGGGCAGUAACAGCAGCGCCCCUGGCAGUAGCAGCAGGGGCGUGGGUGACGGGCACACCGGUUACACCGUGUCGGCGCCGCGGCUAGUACUGCGGGAGCCGUACGGCCAACCCAUGCAGCUGGUACGGCACGGCGCGGGGCUGUUCGUGGAGUGCCUGGGUAACGGCGGCGUGCCGGUGGAGGUGCGCUGGCUGGGCCAGGCGGCAGUAGCAGCUGGGAACGAGGGCGCAGGUGGCAGUAGCAGCUGUAGCGGCCAGGGCGGAGGCCAGGGAGCGGAGGGGGGUGAGGGCGAAGCGGUCGGCGAGGCGGGCGGCGUGCCGCUGCUGCCGCGCGCUGCUGGCCGCACGGUGGCCGUGUUGCACAUGCACAUGGCCCCGUCCGGCUCCUCGGAUGGCACAGAGAGCGGCAGCGGCAGCGGCGGCGGCGGCGGCGGCAGCGGCAGCGGCGGCAGCGAUAGCAGCGGCAGCAGUCGUGGCAGGGUUCAAGGACCGGAGGGGGCGGAGGCGCUACUGCUGUGGGUCACAGACCUGGAGCGCCCAGGCGGCUGUUUAAUGCUACAGCCCCAGCCUCGGCCCCAGCCGCAGCCAGCGGAAGCGCUGCAGCCGCCGCAGCUGCUGCUGCCGGCAGACCCGCUGCUGCGCAUCGUUCACGUACAGAGCCUCCCGGCAGUAGCAGCAGCCACAGCCACAGUUACAACCACAGCCGCCGGGGCAGCUACUGCCACGGCUUUGCAGCCUCCCCAAGGGCUGGCGGCGGCGGCGGCUCAGGCGCGGGGAUUGGCACGGGUGCUGGUCGUGCGGGAGGAACUGGAUCCAGAAACUGCCUUCCCGACUGGUCAGUUCCAGAUCCAGGAACUGCAAAUCCAGGUACCGGGUCUAAACCCGAAUCCGUCAAUGCCGCUGGCAGACAGCGCCGGCACCACAGCAGUGGAAUCCGCAGACCUCGCGUUGUGCCACGUUGAGGUGGUGCGGUGGCGGCGGCUGCUGGUAACGGGCGGCGCACGCCACGGCAGCCUGACGGUCAAAGGCUGGGACGAGGCGGCGGGCGCGGUUACGGUGUCGUACAGUUGCAUGGCGGCGCCGCCUGUUGUACGUGCCGUACAGUUGCUGAUGCCGGAGGGGCACGGGCAGCCCGCGGCGGAGGCGGUGGUGCUGCGCUGUGAUGGCGAGCGUGGCAGCUUUGGCGGCAGCGGGGCUGGCAGCAGCAGUAGCAGCGGGGCGCCGGUUGUUGCUGCUACAGCCGUAGCUGCGGACGCAGGCGAGUGGGAGCUGGUGACGGAGCGGCUGUGGGCGACGUCGCAUGACGGCGCGCGAGUGCCCAUCACCCUGUGCCGCCGCAGGCCUGUGGCCGCCAGCGGUAGCGGCAACGGCAGUAGCAGCCUCCAGCCGCCAGGCCCGCUGCUACUGCGGGUGCACGGGGCGUACGGCCUGGAUCCAGGGCUGGAGCACCAGCCGGCAAUGUCAGCGCUACUGCGGCGGGGGGUGGCGGUGGCGGUGGCGCACGUCCGUGGCGGCGGGUUCCUGGGGCCCGCCUGGUGAGAACGUGGGGCUUCUGGGUAUUCAAAAUUUUUAAGUUCGCGUGAGCUUGCAGUUGUUGCCUCCUGAAAGCUUCGGGGCAAUAUGGAAAGGUUGUAGUUUGAUUGCAAGAAGCAAGGGCAGGCACACGCUAUGUGACUGUCGUGCAUUAUAGAAUGACCCCAAAAGCGCCGGGCCAACAGGCCCUAUAUAUUGUUGGGAUCAUGAUGUAGAGGUCGUAUCACGACAGUGACGAGCCGCUUUCACCGCUUCGUCCACAAUCUUUCUCGCAGGUAUGAGGGCGGCCGCGGUGCCGCUGCCAAGGCCAACAGCAAUCGCGACCUGACGGCGGCGGCGGCGGCGCUGGUGGCGGCGGGCGUCACGGCACCGCACCUGAUGUGCCUGGAGGCGGAAUCGGCAGGUGCGAGGACGCAGUGGCCGUGCAGUAGUGCGCCCAAGCCGCCUUACCUGGUGUGUUGGCUGCUGUAGUAGGACAGUCGGCAAAACACACAUGCGCCAGGGCAUGUUCCGCAGGGGUAACAAGUACUAGUAGAACUACCGCGCUCCGCUCACAGCUGUGCUUGAGCGGUAGUCCCUUUGGAGGCGGCAUACGUCGCUUUAGCAAAUGGGCUGGUAGCAGCGGCGCUGCACUCGCCGUGUUGACGUGAGUGCUCCUGACAUGCAUCUGGACAUAAGCAACGGCAUGGCUCUCUCACGCGCGGCCCCUGUAUUUCCCAACGCAGGCGGAUGGGCCGCGGGCCCAGUGCUGUUGGGCGCCGCCGGGCCGCCGCCCAGCGACGGCGCCCCGGGAGGUCCCCCCCCGGCGCUGUUCCGGGCGGCGGUGCUGACGGUCCCCUCCCUGGAUGCGGCGGGCGGCCUGCGCCACGACCCCACCUACGGCUCACAUGAGCUGGGGCCCGCCACUGCUGCUGUUGCUGCUGCUGCGGUUGAGCGCAGCGGCAGCAGCGGCAGCUCCGCAGGAAGUGCGGUCGCGGAGGAGCAGCACCAGCAGCACCAGCUACACCAGCAGCAGCGCGGCCCGGCUGCCGACCAGGCAGCGGUCGCGAGCUGGUGCCCCUACACGCGCUUGGCGGCGGCGGCAACCGCGGCAUCAGCGGGAGCGGCAGGCCCGGCGGCGCCGCCACCGCACCCACCAGCGGUACGCAAUCCGGCGCCGUGCACAGCGGUUGGCGCCACGUGGCCGGCGCUGCUGCUGCGUACGGCGCUGUACGACACGAACGUGCCGUACUGGGAUCCGGCCAAGGCGCUUGCGGCGCUUCGGUGCUGCGAUGCGGCGGCGGCGGCGGCGGCGACAGGGGCCAAAAGAGUGCCAGCCGCCUCCGCCGUCACUGGGUCGUUGGCGUCAGCGUCAGCUAGCGGACAGCACGGACCUCCUCUACGGGUCAUGCAGGUAAGCCCCGAGCCCGCCUGCAAGGGGGCGGUGAGAUGCAUGGCAAAGGUUGGGGUAACUCUUCUGGCUGGCACGCUCUUCUGGGGAUUUGCCCCCAAGCUUUCUCUGUUCAAGCAGGUCGAAAAGCUUGCCUCCCGGCACUGGCUGAUGGACGAUUCCCGUUUCCCUGGCCCCCUUUCGUCCACUGCCGCAGGUCAAGCCAGGCGGCCAUGACGCGUUUGACAGCGUGGCGGAUGACGCGCUGCGGGCCGCCUUCAUUCUGUGGGCGCUGGGCGUGUGGCGGCCCGCCCCGCCGUCGGCUGUAUCGGCGGCGGCGGCGGCGGCCUCGUCGCCUCGGUCUGCUACCCGCCCCGCUGUAGGUGCAGGCCAAGCUCAGGCUGCAGGUCCACAGGCGCCACGAGCGGCCACGCCCCCGGCGGCGAGGCCGCGGCAGCCGCCGCCGCUGCAGCCGAGGCAGCCGCAGCAGGCGCGGCCGCAGCAGCCACAGGCAGGCGGGGCCGUGGCUCCAAAGCCAGGGUCGCGGCGGCCGCCUGGCGGGGCGAGCGGAUCAGGUGGUGCGUCGCCGCGGCCGUAGCUGAAAACCGUCGGGGGCAGUUGGAAGUCGUCGAAUUCCCAGUGCAAGCAAGAGCAGAGGGUGGUGAGAAGCAUAGUCCCGAGUGUGUAUGUGUCCCUAAAAUCCCGGCCCACGAAUCCCACAAGGCGGGUCAGGGCAAGAGUCGCAGGUGGCAGUCAAUGUCACACAGUCUAUUAGCGUAGCCUUGCGGAUUGCGUGUUAUGAGUAAGGGGUCUCGGAAUCGGAGCAUGUGCAUGAAGCCCGGGAAACGGGCAUGGCAGCAUAGCGCCUGGGGUCUCGGAACCUGAGGACGGGAAUGGCGAUGGAAGUAGUGGCGUGUAAUCGCUUGAAUGUCACUGUUUUCAGCGCAAAGAGCCUGGCAUUCUGCCGGCAAGUGCGUCUGCUUAGCCCGUGCCUCGCCCUCGAACUUGUCAUUGUUGUGUCGUGGUGAAAUCGAGCAGUAGCCAGGCGACUUGCCCACGCGAUACACGGCGUGCCGCCUCGUGCUCUCAUGCUUUGGUACUGGCUCCGGCCGCUGCUGCGCUGGACUGGACUGGACAGAACCGGAAUGCUGGCAGCUCCCUUAGUCUCCCCUCUCCCGAGAACAGCUCAGCCCCACAGAACUGGGCCAUCCGCGCCCUGCGGACAGCGGGAGAGGUCUGGAUUUCGCGGAAAUGUGUGGCGCUACCGUGUGGCAUGGCUGAUACCCAAUGCCUCGUAGCUUGUCCCCGCCAAGGCAGGCGGACUGGACGAAGGCAGCGUUUUUGGGCUGAGCUCCCCAAGCGAACGACUGGAUGGGUGAGGCGGCGGCGCUGCUGGAGGAGAACCGCGCACGCACGCAGGAGCUCAAGCAGCAGUACAUGCUGGCGUUCGAAGUGAACCUGAUGGAGGUGUAGGCGCGCACGCGCGUUGCAGCUGGCGUGGGGGGCUGACGUGGUUGAUGUGUUUGAGUGCGGCUGCGCGGUGGCUGGGUGGGUAGGUGGCGUGUGGCGUAUGGUGCUGUCCUACUGGGCGGCGGGCUGCAGUGUAGCUGGCUUCACGUGCGGCAGGGUGUGGCAUAUCGUGCGAUGUGAGAAGACUUGAGUGCCUGUGACGUAUAUUGUUGGUGUGGUCAGGGUAUUCACUAUCGCGGCAGGACGCUUUGGCAGGUUUAGCCGCCUACUCCUAACUCUACAUUGCUGACCACUCAACAUCAGGUAGGCUGGCAGCCGGAGACUGAUGGGCUUUAGAAUACGGUUUUGGGCUGAGCCCCCCGAGCGAAGACUGGCGUGCAGAUGUUCUGGUGUUGGGAGUUUGGGACGGUAGGUAGGGGACUGACUAGUGCUACUGGCAUGCCUCCCCCCCAUGAAUGCACUUUUGAGAUGGAGGGCUGCUGAGGGCAGGCUUCGGAAUCGAAACAAUCACCCACCAAUUACAGCAUUCCGCAUACCGCAAUGCAAGUCAUAAUCAUCGUCUUGCUCAAGUUUGCAAACGUUCAUCACCCGGGGAGGGCAAAUGGGUAUGGGGAGUAAGCGGCUGUGCCCUUACUUGGGCGGCGUGCCUAAACACAGUCGCACGCCGCGUCCCUUGGCCCCAGCCCCGCGACCGUCUAAUUUCUACGCCGCCUACUAACCAGCACGGGUCUGCCCGGCCAUUCCUAGUCGCCGGGCAGAGACCACCCCCCAGGAUGAAAACACAAGAGUGACUCAAAACCGCGCUAGGUAGCAAGCCUCCAUUUCGCAGAGUAUGCGUAAAAACAAGUAGGGUGGGCGUCCAACGGCUAGUACGCCAAACGCUAAGUAAAAUAAUAACUCGCACGAUACCGGUGCAACCAAAACAGUCCGUCUUUCGAGCCACGUUCACGCAUGGGGCCCCAUCCUCCGACAUACGGCGGCUUCCCCCGCCCUUCUCUCCUCGGCCUUCGCCUACCCAGCAUGCGCUACCUCGCCAGCCUAUUUAUCCGCUUCCCUCCUUCAUAACCUGUCUUAAGUUCCGUUCAAGUUUACUAGAAGCUCCAGAGACCACCUCCUCCCUGCCCAUGCACGUACUCCCCAUGUGUACUCAAGCGGUACGGCCCAGAUGCACUAGACACUAUCUACAAUGCUUAAAACCGCCCUUUGGGGCUUAAUGCCCCCGAGCGAAGCGAGCAGCAGCUGGAUUCAAAAUCAGAGCGGUUUUGAGCAUUGUAGAUAGUGUCUAGUGCAUCUAGGCCGUAUCGCUUGAGUACACAUGGGGAGUACGUGCAUGGGCAGUGAGGAGGUGGUCUCAGCACUACGCAAGGAUGCCCCCCUCUCGCCCUGCCUGUAACCCACCGCACCCACCACACCUGUGCUGGGAUCUGUACGCAUCCUCCACUGCACGCCAUGGCAGGCCAAUGCGCGCAACAUGACUCUCAUCUCCUCCCGACCCUAACGCCCCACACAUCCUACCUUCCUUGCCCUGUCAUGCGUCACGCCGCCACCCCACCGCCCUGUCUUCCGAGCCUGCUGAAUUGACGGCUCCCCGCAUACAUCUCGGACUAAGAGGACCGUUGUGUACACGAGCUCCAACGGUACGAGGACAUGCGUGCACAACGCUCCACCCUCAGCCGCUGCCUACAGCGCUCGUGGGUAGCCCGUCAAUGGAGCCUGCCGGCAGCUCGUCUGCCGGCAGCUCGUCUGCCAGCAGCCCGUCGAUAGGGCCUGCCGGCAGCCCGGCAGCCACACCGGCUGCCUGCAUGUGAACCCACAGCUGCGUCCUCUCCCUUGCCUCCAUGAAAGUGGGUGAUCUCCAGCCGAAGCUGUCCACGGUCACGCGGAUGCCCGGGUCCACCGGCCACUUGCGCACCUUGGCAAACGUGAGCGCCCAUAGUGCAUGUGCCAUAAAGCACCGCUUCGCCGGCCGCAUGUCCGAAUCCGGCCUGAACUUGAGCGGUGUCUUGUCGAUGUCCAUGAAUGUGAUGGCCGCCAGCUCGGAUGGCGGCUCGGCACAGGGGGUGCUGUUCUCGUGCUGCCGGCUCUUGAACUCACCGUACACGGUCUUAUGCAGGAGUUCCGGAUCCAGCACGUGCACCUGCGCGCGGAUCGCGAAACGGCCCAUUCAAGUCGGCAAUCAGCACUGCAUAUCCCAUAUCCGACGUUAUGGCCCAAAACUCCAUGCAGAUGCAAUCAUUGCACUGAGGCUUGUGCAUCUCGGUGGGGCAUGCACAAACCCACCGUGAAGAUGGUCUCGCCGUCCUCGUCCUCCUCAGCCUGGCUGGGCAGCACGAUGACCUGAAACCCGUCGAAUGCGUGCUCCACACCAGCGUGCGUUGGGAUCACGUUGAUAGGCGUAUCCAACGAGGGCCCCAGCUCGAGCCCAGCCUACAUGCAUGCGCAUAAUGGGAGAUGGCAGUGCAAAGUAUGGUCGCGCGUAGUUACGAGAGAAGAAGAGGCCCUACAAGCGAUGUAGGGCCAGCUCGCAUUAAGCGAGCGCUACUCAGUGAGCCACAGACAGAUGCAAGCCGUCGGACACCCCUGGGCGUAUGUAUUUUCCGCUACACGCACAGGACAAAGCCAUUGCAACGAACACCACUUGAACGCUUGCUUCCGUCAUCCUUGGGAUGAUGUGCACAAUUGACAGCACCCAGACAAUACGUACCCACUCAGUGAUGCCCCACUUGCGCUGGAAGAUGUGGCAAGCCCGCACGUGAGGCGCAUUGGUGUCUGGAAGCGGUGGCCAGAACCGGCCAGUGACCAAACACCACGUCCAGCCUUUGCCAUCUACCGCCUUGUACUUUAGCAGCACGUCUUCCCGCAGGUUCUGACGGGCUGCUGAAUCGAGUGACGACGGUGGCAGGUGAGCGCUGGAAGUUAUCGAUGUCAGGAUCGCCUGGUACUGCUGGCUUAUCACCUGCUGCUGGGCCAGAACGAUGUCCAGCUUCUGGUUGAGAGCACCUGCACCCAAAAGUGUGAGGUGGCAUAGGCGCGUGGGUGGACAGUGGGAAGUACGGCCGGCAGCAAGUCAAGUACUUGGUUUUGGCCCCCAAAUAUCCAUUCAUUUCGGCGGGCCAAAAGCAAAAAGCUGGGUGCGCAGCUUGGUAGGUCUUGGGCAUUAUACAUACCGACAACCGUGCAGGCCCCAGCGCACGCUCCACCCCAGCAGAGAGUCAGGCCAAACACAGGAUGGCAGGGGUGGCGCAAUCCGUUCGACAACGUUCCGCGGAGGAACUCACCGAACGCUGCUGCGCUCAACUGGCCAGCCGCCGCGCCUGCACGAUGUGGGAGCAACCGGAAGGUACACGCAAGUUGAGCAACAAUGUGCCGCUGCACGUGCUCGAUACGACGCGUGUGAUGCGGUGUAGGGUUGGGUGCGAAGCGUGCUUCCGCGGUGAUCGGAAGCAAGCGCAUUUCCAAGACGAAUGCGCGCCACAACAGCGUCAAAGCCUGGGAGAGCCGCUGGACCAUCCACACCCUACAUCUGCUCUAGCUGCAUGCAUCACCUUGAAAGGGAAAAAACGUAGGCCCCACGGUGCGACGUGUGGUCUGCGCGAAGUCAUUGCGACCGCAGAGGGCCCACAGUCACCGCCAGCUCCCCCGCUGUCCGGGGCCGGGGCCAGCCGCAGCGGCCGUAUGCCAGCAACAAGUUCGCAACAACGCUGGCCUGGCAGGACCCUCAAGGGUGGUACAAAUUGCGUUCGAAGACAUUACAACACGCAACCGCCGGCCAACGGGCACAUGCAGGUGAGUGUUUGCACGCCGAUGCGCCUGCUCGAUGAUACGUGUGGGUUGUGGGGCGGGUUUGGAGAAAUAAUGCUUGCAUACGGGUGUAUGUUCUCAAAAGAUAAAAGCCGUGGGCCACACGGGUGCUGUAUGCGGGUCUGCGCGAAUCCCCAUACUCCAGCGCUCGGGAAGCAGUCGGGGCCUUGUGGUCAGCAGCACGGCGGGUUGCAGGCCCCUAGCAUGCCAGCUUGCAUACCCCUGGCUUGCUGCAUAUGGUUGCCCCCACCCAACGUCAUCAUGAAACCCAACUUCCUCAAGCACCAGGGGUGGUGCAUGCCCGCCCCGCGCAUCUACGCCGACACCUGAGCCGUAUAAUGGCAGCGGUCAAGGCCCAUGCAACAGCCAUGAUCAUUAGCCCCUGGGGCCAGCAGCUGCACUGAGGCCUAGAUGCAACGAUUGGGGUUUGCAACGGGAUCGGCGGGUCCUAGACGAGCACAAGGGAACCAACACGCGAUCGCAGGUCCCUAGCCCGUAAGGCCUACUCGCCUGCACGACGUGGGAACGGCCGGGCGGCACAUGCAGGUGAGCACGGCAUGCCGCUUCUGGUGUGGGGAGCGGGGUUGGGCGCAAGUAGUGCUGACACGCGGCGGAGGUCUGGGAGAGCGCCAGGAGCCGGGUUGGGCGCAACUCACAAGGCGGCUUCACGCGGCAUGCAUACCGCCCUGCUAGAUCACAAAAGCGAGCAGCCGUAGCCGGUCUCACUUACUCCGUUCCUGCGCCUCCUGCGCCAGGUUCUUCUCCUUCCGAAGCUCCACCAAGUUGGCCAGCAGGAGGAUCAGCUCCUUCUCCCGCUUGUCUCGCUGCUUCUUGUUCAGCGGUUGUCGGAGCUCCUCUUCAACCUCGGCGCACCGGUCCUCGUACCUCGAAAUGUCUGAACGAACCCGCUCUAGUUCAUUCGCCAUGCUCGCAACGCCCGAAGAUCGCCCUUCGUUUUAUUGUAAGCGUGGUGAAGGGGGUCGCUGCGAUUCCCGACCGGAAAUGACCACCUCCAUCAAGCCCCCUCCUCCAAGACGAAGCAAGCGCGUGCAAUAGAGCUUCGUUGUAUGUGCUGUAUUUAGAUUUGUGGCAGGUACUGGCACUGGGCACUACUAGGCACCGUGCUGGGCACGAGCUAAGCGGGCAUGGAGCCGCGGGGAGCUACGGGAAGCCCUUCUGAGAACGGGGGAGGGCUGGGAUUUCUGGUGGAGGGCGCGGGCGUGGUGUCCCGCGAUGACGACAUUUUGGGGAGCCGAGGGCCCUCCCCACGAGGGGGGAGCCACAUGCGGUUCUCCCCAUGCGGGGGGUGCUCCGGUCCAUGGGGAACCCCCCAUACCUCAGCGGGGGGGCUGGAGCGCCCCAACAUGCGCAGCGGAGGCGCCGGCGGUGGCGGCGAUCCUGCCCCGACCGGCAGGUGUAGGGCAGGUAGGCGGGAGCGUGAGGAGGCUUACCUGGGGGUGCGAGGGCGGAGAGGGACGGAGAAGGGGGGAAGACCUAGAGAUGAAGGGCGGGGAGGGAACGGAUGGAAGCGCAUGAUGGGCUAGGAUGAGGGCGGCCAAGGGCAAAAGAGACGAGAACCCAGCGCACGCAUGCGGGUGCGAACACAGACGGCAACAUGACGCUCGGUAUUCGGUAGGUAUCCGUAAGUAACUCCGGCGCCUCUUGGGCGGGCUUCGUUUUGUUGUUUUUAACACACACACACACACACACACACACACACACACACACACACACACACACACACACACACACACACACACACACACACACACACGCACGCACGCACGCACGCACGCACGCACGCACGCACGCACGCACGCACGCACGCACGCACGCACAUACACACACACACACACACGCACGCACGCACGCACGCACGCACGCACGCACGCACGCACGCACGAACGCACGCACAGGAGAUCUUCCGCCCCAUCAGGGACUGGGGAGCCCUGAUGGCCUCCCUCAUCGACGAUGAGUCGGGCUCAGCGGCAGAAAAGGCGCGCGCGGAGUACCAGUGCGGGGCGGUGGUCAGUCUGCUUGCGGCGUUGGGAUUCACGCUCAGCCUGCAGAAGUGCCAACUGGUACCAGCCCCGCGCGCCCGCUUCCUGGGCUUCGAGGUAGACACGGACGCCCUGGCGUUCUCGGUGCCGGCAGACAAGUAAGAUUGAGGGGUUCGAGCAGCUACUGGCCCAGCUAGAGGCCCAAGGGCACCUCUUGGCGCGUGAGGUGGCGCGACUGGCGGGCAAGGUCGUCAUGGCCUGGACGCCGGCGGUGUCGCUGGCCCCGCUGUACAGCCGCCUGACCGCGCGCGCGCUGGCGGGCAAGGAGUCAUGGGAUGCCUGGGUAGCAGAGGCACCAGCGGUGCUGCGACAGGCGCGCCUGUUCCUGGGCCCGCUGUACAUCAAGAACGGCCAGACGUCGUUGGGCGAAGCUCACCCAGCCGGCGCUGAUGCUGCGGGCGGUGUGCGACGCCUCAGAGGUGGCCUACGCGGCAUUCCUGCCGGGCGGCGAGCUGCAAGGCGUGAUGGUACAGUCGUUCACGGACGGAGAGCUAGCAGGCAUGGCCGCCAAUCAGUUCAGCAGCACGGAGCGGAAACCUUCCCUACUUUUGGGGCUGAGCCCCCCGAGCGCUUGCGCCCCUGCCGCCCGACUGGCAUUCGUCCCAACCUCCCGACUGGCCUUCGCCCCCAAACCACCCGACUGGCCUUCGUCCCCCACCUUGUCAAACGAGUUCUACACAUCACAGGCAAGAUGAGAGCAGACGGGUUGGAAUGAGUAGACAGGUGGUCGGGUGGACAGGAUGGGGCUCGUGUACAUGUAGCCGCGUAGCCAGCAAGUACUGUACUCCUGCCCCCUCGCUCCCUCCCCAGGUGUGUGGGAAGUGCGGGCGGCGCUUGCUCGGCGACGGGCAGCGCUGCCUGCAGGCGGUCGUAGCUCACGUGCUCACCAAGUCCAAGUGCGCAACCACUGCGGGACGGUGUGGGUGAGUCCACUUUGCGGGCGGGCGGCUGGCUGGGUGGUGGCUGGGUGGCUGGGUGACGGCUCAGUGGGGCUCAGUGGGUGAUGGGUGGCUGGGUGAGGGCUCAGUGGGGCUCAGUGGGGCUCAGUCGUGGGCUCACUGGGGCUCAGUGGGUGACGGCUGGGUGACGGCUCAGUCGUGGGUGGCUCAGUGGGACUCACUCACUCUACCCUCCCGACGGUGCAGGGACGUGACGUCAACUCCGCAACCAACAUCCGGCACGCGCUGGUGGAGAUGCUGCUGGGGCACACGCGACCUGCAUCACUGCAGAGUGCAGACUGGCGGCGGUGGCGGCGGCGGCGGCGGCGGUGGCGGCGGCGGCGGUGGCGGUGGCGGCGGCGGCGGCAGCGGCGGCGGCAGCGGCAGCGGCAGCGGCGGCGGCGCGUGUGCGCAUCUUGGUAGCGGAGGGGGCGGGAAAGGCCACGUGGAGGAGGAGAGCGCAGCGCCGCCCAAGAAGCGGCGCAAGCGCGCAGGCUGAGGAGCCGGCUGGUGUCAAGGUAGCGGUUCGCGGUGGGGCUGGCAGGGCAUGCGUAGCGGCAUGACAAGUAGUGCGGCUGUUGCUGCGUCUGGCUACGGUUGGCUCUGCUGUGGCAUCGCGAUAGCUAGAUAGGCACCUGGUUUGGCUAUGUGCCUGUGGAAACCGACCCCGGCUAUGUCCGGGCGAUGAGGUUGUUCGGCCUCAGACUGUGGAGGGGCUCAGCCCAUUUUUGGGCUGAGCCCCCCCAGCGAAGCGUUCCAGGGGGGGGGCGAAGCCCCCCAGGAACACCCCUGUCCGUGCGUGCGUGCGUGCGUGGUGUCGGCAAAACAUAGCAUACUGGCGCAAACCGCGAGUGCUACGUAUUAGUAUUUGUUAAUGCCUAUUGCAUGUAAAUAGGUGGCAGGGAAAAUUCGGGCGGAGCGAGAAGUGCCUUCGCGCGUCCAUGGACAAUUGACUUUCGCGAGGUCGCGAGGAAAGCAUCCGGUGCCCGCUGAUAUGCAGUCUCUAAGGCAAACUAUGUUGGCGGCAAGCAAGGCGGGGAAGUAUAUCGAAAAUUUUGAGCGACUUGCCGAGCCAUGCCUGCCGACGCGCCAGGAUGCCAAGAAGCCCCGAGGUCGCCCCCGCCCCGCGCCUAGCCCUUUGAGCGUGGGGCGCCGGGGAGGUGUUGAUUAUGGCAGGAGGCGAAAGAAAUGCUUGGGGUGUUUGGGAACGUGACAAGGCACGCAUGCGUGGCGCGGGAAAUCCCGCACGACCCCAACCCGAGUGUCCCUAGCCGAUGCGCCUGCGCGUCGUAGCGGCAUGGAGGCUCUGACGGGGCGUUACAUGCUUAUCAGCUCCCAAGCGUACGGGGGCUCAGCCCAUUUUCCAGCUGUACAAAGCUGACACCCCUUGUCCCGUGAUCGGGGAACACUUGUCAAAACAGAAUGCCGAGAAGCCCCGAGGUCGCCCCCGCCCCGCGCCUUGCCCUUUGAGCGUGGGGCGCCGGGGAGGUGUUGAGUAUGGCAGGAGGCGAAAGAAAUGCUUUGGGUGUUUGGGAACGUGACCAGGCACGCAUGCGUGACGCGGGAAAUCCCGCACGGCUCCAACCCGACUUUCCCUAGCCGAUGCGCCUGCGCGUCGUAGCGGCAUGGAGGCUCUGACGGGGCGUUACACGCCUAUUAGCUCCCAAGCGUACGGAGGCUCAGCCCAUUCUCCAGCUGUACAAAGCUGACAUCCCUUGUCCAUCUGCAGGCCAAGCCGCCUUGUGCAAGAAAGGGAUUCGGCCCAAACCCGCAUCAUUUGGUUACAUGGCGCCCUCUUCAUAGGAGCGCAGCACUUUCCCACACCAUUGCUCUCGCAGCGAGCAUUCCGCAAGCAGUCCUCUCUGGUCGCACAGUGCAGCCCCUGUCCUCCUCUCUCCUCUGUCUUUCUUGAUACAGUGGCACUCUAUUCAUUUUAUCUCCUCGCUCCACGACGACAGCCACGGGCCUCCUGAGUCAACGGCUGCGGCACGUGGCUCAACAUACCCCCGCAGCCUCUUUGAUCUCCCAGAAGUUGCCCCAGUCGGCUCCGCCGGGUCCCAUCCGAUUCGUCCCGAGGUACACACGAAGCACAACAGCACAGCAAAGCGCAUCAGGUCACGAAUCCACAGGGACACGGACAGACACGCAUGCCUCAGUUUUGGCCUCGUCCCAUGCCGCGCGCCGUGCGUAAGCACUAGUAACAGCGCACCCGCCUUGCCCAACGUGCUGACGGUACACAGGCCACAAUUAGACACCCACACAAGCGAAUUCACAGGUCAUGCUCAUCGAGUCUCCUCUCGGUCAGGCCUGCACUCAAAAAUUGCCGCUCCCCAGUUAUCUGCCGUUCAUACCCUUAGUAGCGUGGUCUCGGGACGGCGGCGCCAGUUGCCCCGCGGCGCACAUCUCCAAAACCCACCUCAAAAGGCUGCCAACGUAUCCUGCUGCACGGAUAACGCAUGCUAAGCUAGAUACCACACAAAAUGUUGAUGCGGCUUAAUCCACAAACCCCAUGACUAUAACGCCCUUGAUGUUGCAGUACCGUCCUUCUGUGCUAUCUGCUGCUCAAUAAGGCCAACACACUCACGAGACCUGCAAUGUGGGCUAAACCAAACACCAAAUCCGUCCGCGAGCUGCGCGCAAAGCGGCCGCUGAUGCGUCAGCGUCCAUGCCCAGCGCAUGUGUAUGUGCUGUACUCACUGGCGCAUGCGCUGCCUCCACGCAUCACCGCUAGCCGCUACCAGCCCAUUCAUCCCGCCAGCUGGCGCGCCCUCCGCACGCCCAAUCGCCGCUCCAGCUCCUCCUCACACCAAGCGCAGCGCCAGAGCCCAAUGCGCGCCAGCGGGGCUCUCAAAAAGCCACACUCGCGCUUUAAGCGCGCGUGAUCUCCUUCUGGCCGGUGUGGCCGGCAGCGUGCGCGCCGCCGCUGGUGCGCUGCAUGCCCUCGUUCAGGCGGCUGCGGCGCGCCAGGUCGCGGGCCUUGGCGGGGUCGGCCGACACGCGCACCAGGCCGUCGCUGGUGCGGUGCACGGGCACCAGGGCGGCCGAGGCGCGGUCCAGCACCAUGGUGACGGGCUUCUGGAUCGAGGCGCGGCCCAGCGGGUUGGAGGCGGUGGGCACGGUCAUGCCGGUCACGCCCACGUCGGCGGCCUUCUGCUGCGAGGUGCGGCCCAGCUCCUGGCGGCGCUCGUGCUUCAUGGUGGCCAUGUCGCGGAAGCCGUCCUCGUUGAGCAUCCAGCACAGCGCCCACUUGAUGGGGUCCAGCAGCACGUACCAGAUGCCCGUCCAGAUCCAGGCCACCAGCACGUAGCCCAGGCAGCCCAGCACGGAGGCCGUGUACACCGACUCGGUGCCGGCCAUGGGCACCUCCUUGCUGGGGAAGAACUUGACGGGGGUGUAGUCAGAGUAGCUGCAGAACUGGCAGUCGGUGAAGCGGUGGCGAGGGGGCACGUAGCCGCCGAAGCCGAAGACCGAGAUGACGGUGGAGCCGAUCUGGGCCAGCACGAAGGCGAUGUAGGUCAGGCUGCCGGCGCGCUCCAUGAGGGAGAAGCCCUGGUUGCGCACCACCAGCACCAGCGCCUGGCCGGAGAUGGAGACGUGGUUGUAGAUCAGCGAGCGCAGCAUGGCGCCGCGGAUGUAGCGCUGCUCGGCCAUGCACUGGUUGAUGAUCUGCUCGCCGCCCAUCUCCUCAAUGCAAGCCGCCUGGCUGUCGAACUGCGCCAGGUAGGUGGGCAUGGUGCAGAUGCUGGCGGUCGGGUUGAGGUUCAGCUGGUUGGUGAUGUAGCCGGUGCACCAGUUCUGCAGGGUGAUGUGGCGGUCGUCCAGCGAGAAGAUGGGGAAGUGGUCCUCGAAGAAGCUGGUCUUGCAGGCGGUCUGGUACAGCGCCCAGGUGGACAGGGUGAGGUACAGGCCGUACACAAUGCCCAUCAGGAAGAUGUUCUUCAGGUUCCAGGCGUUGGGCUGGCGGCUGGGCUCCACGCGGUCCUUGGCCAGCGCAAUCAUGGCGCCGUCGUUGAACACGGCCAUGAUCACAAUCAGAAUGGUGGGGAAGUACCAGUCGUAGAUGACGGUCAGCAGGCCAAAGGUGAAGCAGAUACGGAAGGUCAUGGCCACCGUGUACUUGGAGUAGGUGGUCAUGCGCUGGAAGAUCUUGCGCGCGCCCAGCACGGCGGUCUUGAUGGCGGACAGGCCCGCCUCGGUCAGCACGAUGUCGGCGGCACCGCGGGCGGCAUCAGUGGCGCCGGCCACAGCGAUACCCACAUCGGCCUUCUUCAGCGCAGGCGCGUCGUUCACACCGUCGCCGGUCAUGCCCACGACGUGGUCGGCCUCCUGUUGGUGGCAACGGGAGGAGAAGGAUGGCAGGUCAGAACCUGACCGAGAGCGACGACCCAGAAAGCACACGCCCGGAGAUCCGCCUGCGCCUGAGCUCCCUACUCUGAUCCUGCCGCCUGCGACGGCUCUGGUCUGUAGCCCUUCCACUCCCCCGGCGCCCCUUAUUGACCUACUCGCCGAUUCCUUCCUUCACCAUUUGCCGAACCCGUUGGUGCUCUUGCCCCCUUUACGGUCCGUUUCCCUUUGCCUCGCCUUCACCCGCCUCCACAGGGCUUCGCCAUACCCCCGCGCCCAGUUCGCCUCGCCUCGCCUCCCCCCACCCUCUUGCGAGCCUUCCACACCUGCAGGAUGGCCACGAUCUCGUACUUGUGCUCGGGGAACACCUCAGCAAAGCCGUUGCACGACUCCACCAUGUGGGUCACGUCGCGGAAGUCGCCCAGGGCGCCCUUGUCGCCGUUCUUGGCCUGCAGCGAGCGAACAAGACGCGCAGCCUGAACGGUCAGACUCCUGUACUGAUACGAUACAUCUGCAGCCCUUGCCCCACUGAGCUUGCUGGUUGUCUGCCCUUCAACUCCCUGACUUUUGCCGCUUCCAACGCUUUCUAGCCCGCACCCUUUCCCAAGACCGCGCCGUCUCCCAUGAGCUCCCAUUCCCCAGAGCAAACGCGCACCUUGAUCAGGACCUCCGAGGGGUACAUGACGGUGCCCAUGCCCAGCAUCUUGGCGGUCUCCUUGCCGAUCAGCAGGUGGUCGCCAGUCACCAUCUUCACCUCAAUGCCCUGGCCGUGGCAGUACUCGAUGGUGUCCUUGGUGUCGUGGCGGGGCGGGUCGAACAGGGGCAGCAGCGCCAGCAUGUGCCACUCGUGCUUGCCGUCAGCGCCAUCGCCCUCGGCCAUGGCCACACCCAGGGAGCGGAAGCCGCGGUUGGCGAACUCCACCAUCUUGGCGUUCACGUUGUCGGCCAGAGUGUCCUUGUUGUACGCCUUGCCCAGAACCACCUGUGUGUGGCGCGGCAGGGCGAGGCGUAGAGCGUGAGAAACUGGCGCUUUCAGGUACAGCAGUUUUGGGGCUACAUACCACCAGCCCCGGCAUUAUCGCCGGACUGCAACUCACACGCCCGCCUUGCCCUGCCGCGACAUCGCCAUACAGCGUCCUGAUUUCCACACCGACCCCAAAGCCACGGCCGGCGCACCUGGGGCGAGCCCUUGAGCAGGCGGAAGACGCGGCCGGUCUCCUGGUCCAUGAGCGUGAUGGCGGUGAACUUGUCGGUGGGGUUGAAGGGCACCCACUUGAUCUUCUUGUAACGGGCGGCCAGGUCCUUGGCGUUGGCGUAGUUGUUGAAGAGCACCAUGUCGAUGGGCUCCUCGCCGGCAACGUCGGCCGACAGCGCGCCGUACUUGGCCACGUCGUCGUUGGUGAUACCGGGCUCGCACUUGUAGAUGGUGUUCAUGUCGAUCGACAGUUUGUUCAGCGUAAGGGUGCCUGAACGGUGCGGCAGUGUUGGCAAGGGAGAAGCGGGUGAGCGCGCGCAGGCAAGCUAAGCUAUACCAGCUUUGUGCCCAGUCCCACCACUUUUGACUUGCCUUACCUCGGUACUCCUGCCCAGGUCCACCCAGCCCGGUGCCAUCCGCACCGCCCAGCCCGCCCGCCUUCACUCCGCCGGCCCCACUCACCGGUCUUGUCCGAGCACAGAAUGUCCAUACCGGCCAUCUCCUCCACAGCGCUCAUGCGGGCCACAAUGGCGCCCUCCUUGGCCAGCUUGGCAGCGCCCAGAGCCAGGGUGACGGACAGCACGGUGGGCAUGGCAAUGGGGAUACCACCGACCAGGAUCACCAGCAUGUUGGUCAGGGUGGGGCAGCCCUCUGCGCGGCGCGGGCGGAGGUGGCAAGAUACGGGAGACGUCAGACCGUGAGCUGGAAGCGUGCCAAUGAGCCUGCCUAGGGCUUGUCGCUUGGUACCUGUGCGUCUACUCUAAUUGCGGCCAACCCCGUGCAAGUACAGGCAUAACUUGCGCGUCCAGACCGCAUCCGUUGCACUCACCCUCGCCGGAAGUGCAGCCGUGGCCGUAGUGGCCGAACUGCACGGCCAGCUCAAUCACCACCCAGACACCGAUGGUCACCAGGCACACGCCUCCGAUCUUGGUCAUGAUGAUCUGCAGGUUGGCGACGUUGUGCGUGCCGCUGAUCAGCGCAGCAGCCCUGCACGUGAGAAAGCCGGCAGCGGAUCGGGUGUUAGCGUUCGUUUCAGGGUAUUGGUGCGAACAAUCGAGAAGGCUUGAGGAAACUGUGAUACGGAGGGGUUGAGAAGGCUAGCUGGACCAUGCUUCCAGGUGUUGCGCACCUGCCGAAGAAGGUGUUGAUGCCGGUGGCGUACACGACGGCGUGGCGCUCGCCAGCCUUGAUGGCAGAGCCAGAGAAGGCGACGUCACCGGUGUGCUUCUUGGCGGGCAGCGACUCACCGGUCAGGGCGGCCUGGUCAAUCUGUGAAUUGAAAGCAAGCCCCAAGAGUGAGUAACAACACAUGACGAAGGGAAGCGGGAAGGGAAGCGGGAAGGGAUGGCGUUGAGCGAGGUACGGGCUAUACGAACUGUGCUGGCGACACGAAUGGUUGCUGCACAUGCGCACCUGCAUGGGCACCUCCUCAGAGUGUGAAUCGAACGGAUGCUGCGGGUCGUCGGAGAAGAGCUUCACGUCAGCGGCCACGAUGUCACCAAACUUCAUGACCACAACGUCGCCGGGGACAAGGUUGACCGCCUCCAUGGUUUGUAGCGUGCCGUCUCGAAUGACUUUGCACUUGGGUGCCAGUGCUCCCGCCAGCGCCUGCGCGGGGGUAAUAGCCACCAACGUUAACAGCCUGAUGCACCACGCGGUGCAGUGAGGUUACACGUCUUUCGCUGGACAAGGACUGCAGCACACAAGCUUACCUUGAUUGCAUUGUCCGCACUCGACUCCUCGACGUAGCUGAUCACGGCGUUGAGGAACAGCAGGCCCACGAUGAGGGCGAAAUCAGCGUAAUCCAGCAGAGCAAUAGCGAUAAUGGCCGCGGCCUCCAUAGCCCACGAAAGAGGGUUCCACAUGUAGCCGAGGAACACCAGGAGCGGAAUGCGCUUGCUCUCCGGCAGGCGGUUCGGCCCAUACUCCGCAAGGCGCUUGUCUGCCUCCGCGGAGGAUAGUCCAUGAGGCGUCGUCUGCGCGAUAAAUGGGUUCGCGUUAAUAAGAGCGACUGGGCGACGAUGCGUUUCUUCGCGGCGGCGUCCGACUUACGUUCAGAAUUGACAGCGCCUCCUUCAGAUCAAUCUUCUCAAAGUUGACCUCCUCAAUAGAGGUCCCGUUGACCGCCACCUUAACCUCGCCCUCAUUGCCUGCGCAAAAGUAAGCGAAGCGCACGUGAGGACCGGCGCACGCGCGCGCUGACCAUGCGCUGUGGCUGUGCGCUUACCCAUGGUUGCUAGUGUCAGCGCGACGCCUCAAUUCGCGACUGCGGCAAAGGGAAUGGGGCUUCGCUUAGUUAUGGCGGCCAAUUACAAAGCCCCAGUCCAGAUACCGUGUCCAAAAAGUAUUUGUAUGCAUCAUGGUGCCAAGAGGCUUCGUGUGAUUGCAAUUAACGGUCGCACAAGGGGCCUGGGCCCCCGAAACGAAGACCAAGCUGGGUGCCCAACAACCAAUCAAGGGCUCUGAGCUCACCUCGUCAAGCCGCCAACGCGGCCUGGAACUAUUGCUUUGCUAUUGUUCGCUGUCAGCACAAGCUGCGCUGGGGACAAGGCCGCAAGGUGAACGACUGAAGAGUCAGAAGCAAGUUUGGUCCAAAUGUGACCGCCGAGAGUCGCCUAAGUUGUGUGGAAAGGGACUCGCUGCGCUCCCUUAAGUACAAGGGAGGUGUGUAAUGACAUUGACUCGGUGAGCGCCGCAUAAAAGAAGGGCGUGACCCUAGCCCAUGCAGGCGUACGAUGCAUGGGCCCCGGCAAAAUUCCGCGCUCCCCGAACGCCGCGGUUCGCGCUCGUACAGCUGCAGGAAUAGCUUUGUAAUGGGGCUGCGUCAUGUUAUUGUCCGUGCGCGGGUGCCCGAGGAUAGAGGAGGAUUUGGUGGGGGGCGCGGCUUCGGGUUCGCACAUGCCAGUGAACGCUCAACGCGUAAUUGUUUUUACGCGCUUUACGCUGAGCGCACCCGCCAAUUGGUGCGGUGCGUGUGAGAGACAACGUCACGUCGCACUGUGCGGGAGAAGGGUUGCAAAUAUAGUCCCCGCCAGCGACAUUCUGUUGUGUCGGGCGGGCGUGCACCACGGCUGGUCGCGCAACACCGCUGCGCGCCCUACACACGUAGUCAGCACCCACCUCCACUAUUAAGCUCAGCGCACCGAUGCAGGGCGAGCGCGCUGCCUGCACAGAAUGAUCAGUCGCUUGCACGUGUUGCGAAAGCGCGGUCGCUUACGAACUGUCACGCGUGAGAGGUUAGCGCUGGAGGAAGACGCCUGCGUAAGGGCUCGCGCGACCCUCAGCGGUCGCGUAUGACAACAGUGAUUCGCAUGAUUUGCGGUGGCCCCAGUGGCGUGGCCCCCUGCCUGCGCCUCCCUCCCGCACGUCCAUUCUGACCCUCCCUGCUUUUAGUUUGCGGCUACCGUAUUGCGGGAUGCGCGCACACGACCUACGGGGCCUCAGCAGCUACUAAGUACCUUGUGCCCCUUCUCAUUUUCGGAACCAUAGGCCAUUCAGACGCGGGCAUUUGCAGGAGCCUGGGCCGCGCCCCCUUCGGCCUUGUGGGCCGGCCCCCUGCUUUCUGCCAAGUGCACCACGCCAGGAAUGCCCCAUGCAGCUCUUCUUGACCCCCCCGCUGGAAUUUCCUCGGGCUGGGAUGCUGCAUGCCCGGAUUGCGGGCCCUGGAGGGCCAGAACCUGCCCUAUGCUUCCUGCACCUUCCUAAAUACCUCAGACCACCACUCCCAAGACGCCCUGGCGCAGCAAGGCGCUGCGCCAGGCGGCACAAAUGCUGCUCUAGCAACUGUCGCCACGUACACCCCCAGGCCCUGUCCCCAUGCAAUCCUUCGGGGAGAAUAGAACACAUCCUGCUAGCGAUGCUGCCUUGCAUGGACGAUCGUGAAUGCGAGCCCCUUUCCUGCUUUCACCUCUGCCCCGUACCCCUGCCCCUGCGCCCCUUCCUUUCCCGAUUGCCUUCAUCCUCCCCCCCUACUCCUAACAAGGAACGCAUGGGCACGGCUUGCCUGACAGUUUUCCCGCAAGUCCCCAUGGGCAGGCUUACAGAACGUAGGGAUCGGGCUAACGGGAUGUCACUUUCGUAAUUAGCUGACUUUGUCCCGGCGCCCAAUGGACGCUGCUUCAAGCAUCGGGCCCUGACUGCUGACAUGAUGCCGUACGUGCUGGUGAUCAUGCUGGCCCAACACGAGCCUGGUGUAGCUGUGGACAGAAGCGGCGCCACCCUGCAGCUGCUGUUCCAGCCUGCCUGCUGCCUGCUGCGUUGUCCGUUCCAGCAAGGACCUGGUCACUGCUCGGCCACACCUGGCAAGCCUCCCCACGCAGACACACCUUGCCCCGGCACAAACGCACGACAGGCACGGCGCAGGUAAACCAAUACACGCACACGGCGCAAAUCAAGCACGAAACACAAAUCAAGCACGCAGCGCGAGCACUCGAUCACCCGGCCCGCACGCCCUACACGCCCUCACCAACAGCACACGCACGCAGCAGGCCUUCUUGCCCUGGCCCAGCAAGGUCACACAGACGCUCAAUUGCUGGUUGGCUGCCUUCUGCACUGCCCUCACCCGCUGCGUGCCACUGAGGCCGAGCGAAAGCUACUGGCACCACGCUGCUGCCCCGCUGGCAUCUGGCUGCAAGCGUGGCCGCACGCAGACGCACCACCACCACCGGCAGCAGGCCGGCGGCUUCAGACCGCCAGAUGGCUGCGUGCUGGGACGUCCCCGCUUGAGGGGGGAACCGGCAGCAGGCGGCGCGGUCGGGCAGCAGCGGCACGCGCGAGGACGUGGUGUGCGUGCGUACAUGCGCACGCUUCGCAACCAAGAGCGCGCCUGCGCCGCUGUAAGGCGCGGCACCCCCUGCCGCCGCCCAGGCCCAGACCAGUACAUGCUACACGCCGCCGCCGCCAGUGCUGCCAUGUCGGGCAGGCGCAGCAUCGCCACUGCGCGCGACUGCGGCGCGGCAGGCCGCGGUGCCCAGCAGUAGUUGCUGCUGUUGCUGCUGCCGCUCCACUGCAACGCUGCAUAUCAUCAGCCGCCAGUACCCAUACCCCGCUGCGUGAGCUGCAAGCGUCAACGGCGCAUGCAGGCCCGCUGCAGCACCCAGCGCCGCUGCCAGCAGCUGCUGCAAGAGUCGCCAACACAACGCAGCGGACAUAGUGCUGCGCGCACACUGCAGCGCGCAUAGCGUCCGCUGCCGGUUGCCGCACGCCGCGCCCUCCGUGCCCCACCACCGCCGUAGCUGCAGCAGCUGAUGCGAGGGACGCCACCUGCUUCCAUUGCCCACACCUUCUUGCGCUCCGCCGCCGUGCCGCCGUGCCCGCAACCCUCUACCCAGCUGUAGUCGCCUGCAGUCCGCUGUCGCCGGCUAAGCAAGGCUUCUGGGCUGCUGCCGCCGUCCCUGCAGCCGCUCUGGUGCUGGCGGCCGCCGUGCUCCCACCCAACUGCAGCUGUGACUGUCUCCCCCCUCGCCAGCCAGCUGCCAGCCGGCACCAUACGCUUGCACACAGACGCGCUUGCACACCAGUACACCCACGACGAACGCCACCAGCACGCGCACACGCACACAUCGCACACAGCAUCCGAACGCAACCAGCACGUCCUCCACACGCAAACACGGCCCCAGGCCGGCACAACGACGACCUGCCACAACUCCACUCCGCCCGCCCACUCACCGGUAUGUGGCUGCGCCGUUAAGGCUGCUCCCGCAGCACCUGCCACCAUGAAAGCAAGCCGACAACUGCAACGCUGCUGCAGCUGACGCUGUUGCCAGGACGAAUGACACGCGCUGCUAGAAGGAAAGGCUGCAUGCGCUGCUGCUCGCUGAGCGCUGCUGCCGAGUGCUGGCGGCGCCGGGGGGCUGCUGUGCUUGAGGGCGUCGCGGGGCUGACCCCCGCACGCCCCCCCCGGCGCCCGGUCCCCCCUCUGAAGUUUCGGAAGCAACUUCCCCACCCGACGAGGCGAGGCAAAUUUUCUCUGCACUAAAACGGUGUUACAUGGCUCCGCUCAACAGCGACCGCCCGAAACAGCCUCCCAAGCCCAUCGCUCUCCGCCGGCGGUCCAUCAUACGCGGCUGGGGUAGAGCAUCACACGGACGGCGCCGCCCAGGCUGAUCGGGGGCAGGUUGGAAGAGAACUUGGCCUUCACCACGCCGACGUUGCCGUGCGCACGCAUAACACGGCCCCAAAUGCACCGGAACUUGGUGCCCUGCUUCUCGUUCUUGGCCUUGUAGAUGUAGGCAAUGCGCUUGCCCAGGUACCAAGCCACCUCCUUCUUGGUAGCCACGCCGUCCACCUUCAGCAGCGCGGUGUGGUUCUGCUGGUUGGCCUUGGACCGCUUGUAGCCCAGAAUGUGGCCCUUAACGAAGAGGCGCACGUUCUCGCCGCCCAUUUUGACUUUCCUAGGAGCAAAGAACGGGUGGGAGGGGCACAGGAGAGGGCGAGAACAAGCGGGCGCGCAGCCUAUACCGGCGGCCAUUCCGCAUGCGGCGGCGUACGACGGCGCUUCAAAACGAAUUGUUGGGGCCUAAGAAAAAAUACAGAGACCUUGUCAUGGCCACAUCAUAUCGUAUAGUAUUGGUGGAAGCCUGCAGCAGCAGUCUCGAGCGAGAUUUCCCGCUGCUCACACGCGGCGCCCAGGAAUCGCCAGCUCACGCAUUCUAUGAAUAACAAUGCCUUUGUAGAACCCUUGAUACCAAGGAAGGAACACAGUGCUUGACAGAACAGGCGAAAGGCCUGCUCGCGCCAUCCUGCUCGCUGAGCGCGGACGCACCUGGUGCGGCAAAGCCAAUAGUGAUGUAUCCUAGAGGGGCAGCGCUGGGAAAGCUUGGAUGUUGGCCCUCGCCCCAAACGGAGUCAAGGAGGCAUGUGCCGGAGGGCAUGCGGGGUCCUGCCGGAUGCUUACGCCUCCUUAGAGCGGCAUUAUGCGUGGGACUUGGUGCGGGGGUGGGCUGCUUGGUUGGCCUUCGUGCAUUCUUCGUGGCCAGGAAGGGGCUGCGGAAACAGGGACGGGGGUUGGAGACUUGGGCGGGCGUUUGGGGCAGGGUGGGGGGGUCGGACGGCCGGCAGGCCCCGCUUUUCGUCAGACAGCGUAUGCCAGCAAGGGGAGGGUCCCCGCUGUGCGGCAGGUUGCAGACAAGCUGGGUUUGAAAUGCAAUAGGGCGCACGAGCGAUGGUCCCAGCUACGGCUGUAGGGCUGUGCGGCUAGCUGCGGCGCCAGGCAACAGCUUUGGACGGGGGGGGCGCGGAGGAUGGGCAGGUCAGGCGCGGGCUUCGUAAUGCAUGGCGACUUUGCCAAGACGGGUGUUUCAGCUACGCAUUGGGGGGGAGAGGAGCAGCCCAGAUUCAAGCGCCAAAUUCCGUUACGAGCCGCUUAGCGUGCCCAGGACCUUACAUACCGUAGUGAAGGGAAUGGCGGCCCUUACAACGUGCGGCGGGAAUGUCCUCGUAACUAGUGUCUGUCUGAGCACAGCCGGCACAGCAAAGUUGGGCUGCCGUACUGUUUCGUAUCCACAUCUGUACCGCUGUACGAAGCAGGUGAAGCAGUCAAUCCAACCCAUGCCCUGCUCCCGGGCAACGUGGGGGCACUGGGGCGAAAACAUGCUUGUGUGUGUGAUGGGACAGGGUUCAGGCAGGUUGGCGAGGUCCCAUAGGGUGCAGCUGACGCCCAUUGGUGAUACCGUAUCCUGGCCGCUGGCAUGU